UACGAAGGGGGCUAGCGUUGCUCGGAAUCACUGGGCGUAAAGCGCACGUAGGCGGCUUCUUAAGUCAGGGGUGAAAUCCUGGAGCUCAACUCCAGAACUGCCUUUGAUACUGAGGAGCUUGAGUCCGGGAGAGGUGAGUGGAACUGCGAGUGUAGAGGUGAAAUUCGUAGAUAUUCGCAAGAACACCAGUGGCGAAGGCGGCUCACUGGCCCGGUACUGACGCUGAGGAGCGAAAGCGUGGGUAGCAAACAGG
rnacentral:rRNA from 1 species